GACGAACGCUGGCGGCGUGCCUAAUACAUGCAAGUAGAACGCUGAAGAGAGGAGCUUACUCUUCUUGGAUGAGUUGCGAACGGGUGAGUAACGCGUAGGUAACCUGCCUUGUAGCGGGGGAUAACUAUUGGAAACGAUAGCUAAUACCGCAUAACAAUGGAUGACACAUGUCAUUUAUUUGAAAGGGGCAAUUGCUCCACUACAAGAUGGACCUGCGUUGUAUUAGCUAGUAGGUGAGGUAAUGGCUCACCUAGGCGACGAUACAUAGCCGGCCUGAGAGGGUGAUCGGCCACACUGGGACUGAGACACGGCCCAGACUCCUACGGGAGGCAGCAGUAGGGAAUCUUCGGCAAUGGGGGCAACCCUGACCGAGCAACGCCGCGUGAGUGAAGAAGGUUUUCGGAUCGUAAAGCUCUGUUGUAAGUCAAGAACGGGUGUGAGAGUGGAAAGUUCACACUGUGACGGUAGCUUACCAGAAAGGGACGGCUAACUACGUG
rnacentral:rRNA from 1 species